AGCGAACGCUGGCGGCAGGCCUAACACAUGCAAGUCGAACGAACCUUUCGGGGUUAGUGGCGGACGGGUGAGUAACACGUGGGAACGUGCCUUUAGGUUCGGAAUAACUCAGGGAAACUUGUGCUAAUACCGAAUGUGCCCUUCGGUGGAAAGAUUUAUCGCCUUUAGAGCGGCCCGCGUCUGAUUAGCUAGUUGGUUGAGGUAAUGGCUCACCAAGGCGACGAUCAGUAGCUGGUCUGAGAGGAUGAUCAGCCACAUUGGGACUGAGACGCGGCCCAAACUCCUACGGGAGGCAGCAGUGGGGAAUCUUGCGCAAUGGGCGAAAGCCUGACGCAGCCAUGCCGCGUGAAUGAUGAAGGUCUUAGGAUUGUAAAAUUCUUUCACCGGGGACGAUAAUGACGGUACCCGGAGAAGAAGCCCCGGCUAACUUCGUG
rnacentral:rRNA from 1 species